rnacentral:rRNA from 1 species
UGGGGGAUAUUGCACAAUGGGCGCAAGCCUGAUGCAGCGACGCCGCGUGAGGGAUGACGGCCUUCGGGUUGUAAACCUCUUUCGCCUACGACGAAGCGACAGUGACGGUAGUAGGAGAAGAAGGACCGGCCAACUACGUGCCAGCAGCCGCGGUAAUACGUAGGGUCCGAGCGUUGUCCGGAAUUACUGGGCGUAAAGAGCUCGUAGGUGGUUUGUCGCGUUGUUCGUGAAAACUCACAGCUUAACUGUGGGCGUGCGGGCGAUACGGGCAGACUGGAGUACUGCAGGGGAGACUGGAAUUCCUGGUGUAGCGGUGGAAUGCGCAGAUAUCAGGAGGAACACCGGUGGCGAAGGCGGGUCUCUGGGCAGUAACUGACGCUGAGGUGCGAAAGUGUGGGGAGCAAACAGGAUUAGAUACCCGCGUAGUCC